ACGUUCGGCUGCCGAAGGUGGUCUGGCCAGCCACCUAUAAAAGGGCCAAGGGUCGGUGGAAGGAGGAUAUUUCUCCUCCACUUGCAGCCAGAGGUGCGUUCAAGCCUCUCCCACGUUGACUUUCAUGUUUUUCAUGUUUUUCACCAAAUCUUCCAAGGGUUUUAAGUGUUUUGGUGUGUUUUGAAGGUUUUGAGCAAAAAUAGUAAGUUUUGAAGCUUGGAGCUUUGGAAGCGGUUUUAUCCCUAUCUCCACGUUAGGAUCACUCAUCCUCAAGUUCUUUAGGAGGUAAGGGUUGAUCCUGAACUUCUUUGAUGAGUUUUGAAGGUUUUAUGGGAGUUGGAUGGGUAGUAUGCAUGAUUAGGUGUAGGUGAGGUUUAUGGGAGAUGUGUAUGUACAAGCAUGUUA
rnacentral:lncRNA from 1 species